UACGAAGGGGGCUAGCGUUGUUCGGAAUCACUGGGCGUAAAGCGCACGUAGGCGGAUUUUUAAGUCAGGGGUGAAAUCCCGGGGCUCAACCUCGGAACUGCCUUUGAUACUGGAGAUCUUGAGUCCGGAAGAGGUAAGCGGAACUGCGAGUGUAGAGGUGAAAUUCGUAGAUAUUCGCAAGAACACCAGUGGCGAAGGCGGCUCACUGGCCCGGUACUGACGCUGAGGCGCGAAAGCGUGGGGAGCAAACAGG
rnacentral:rRNA from 1 species